AGUGAACGCUGGCGGUAGGCCUAACACAUGCAAGUCGAACGGCAGCACAGUAAGAGCUUGCUCUUACGGGUGGCGAGUGGCGGACGGGUGAGGAAUACAUCGGAAUCUACUUUUUCGUGGGGGAUAACGUAGGGAAACUUACGCUAAUACCGCAUACGACCUACGGGUGAAAGCAGGGGAUCUUCGGACCUUGCGCGAUUGAAUGAGCCGAUGUCGGAUUAGCUAGUUGGCGGGGUAAAGGCCCACCAAGGCGACGAUCCGUAGCUGGUCUGAGAGGAUGAGUAGCCACACUGGAACUGAGACACGGUCCAGACUCCUACGGGAGGCAGCAGUGGGGAAUAUUGGACAAUGGGCGCAAGCCUGAUCCAGCCAUACCGCGUGGGUGAAGAAGGCCUUCGGGUUGUAAAGCCCUUUUGUUGGGAAGGAAAAGCAGCAGGUUAAUACCCCGCUGUUCUGACGGUACCCAAAGAAUAAGCACCGGCUAACUUCGUG
rnacentral:rRNA from 1 species